UGGGGAAUAUUGCACAAUGGGCGAAAGCCUGAUGCAGCAACGCCGCGUGAGGGACGACGGCCUUCGGGUUGUAACCUCUUUUAGCAAGGAAGAAGCGAAAGUGACGGNACUUGCAGAAAAAGCGCCGGCUAACUACGUGCCAGCAGCCGCGGUAAUACGUAGGGCGCAAGCGUUAUCCGGAAUUAUUGGGCGUAAAGAGCUCGUAGGCGGUUUGUCGCGUCUGCUGUGAAAAACCCGAGGCUCAACCUCGGGCCUGCAGUGGGUACGGGCAGACUAGAGUGCGGUAGGGGAGAUUGGAACUCCUGGUGUAGCGGUGGAAUGCGCAGAUAUCAGGAAGAACACCGAUGGCGAAGGCAGAUCUCUGGGCCGUAACUGACGCUGAGGAGCGAAAAGGGUGGGGAGCAAACAGGCUUAGAUGACCCUGGUAGUCCACCCCGUAAACGUUGGGAACUAGUUGUGGGUCCAUUCCACGGAUUCCGUGACGCAGCUAACGCAUUAAGUUCCCCGCCUGGGGAGUACGCCGCAAGGCUAAAACUUAAAUGAAUUGACGGGGUCAUAGCUGUUUCCU
rnacentral:rRNA from 1 species